CAAUAGCGUAUAUUAAAGUUGUUGCAGUUAAAAAGCUCGUAGUUGGAUUUGUGGCGUACGGUGUGUUCCGGGCACUUGUUGUCUGAGUAACCUGCUGUUGCCAUCCUUGGGUGGAACCUGUGUGGCAUUAGGUUGUCGUGCAGGGGAUGCCCAUCAUUUACUGUGAAAAAAUUAGAGUGUUCAAAGCAGGCUUAUGCCGUUGAAUAUAUUAGCAUGGAAUAAUGAGAUAGGACUUUUUUGCUAUUUUGUUGGUUUGCGCAAAGAGGUAAUGAUUAAUAGGGACAGUUGGGGGUAUUCGUAUUCCAUUGUCAGAGGUGAAAUUCUUGGAUUUUUGGAAGACGAACUACUGCGAAAGCAUCUACCAAGGAUGUUUUCAUUAA
rnacentral:rRNA from 1 species